GGGCUCAUCACAAGAAGGAGAAGGAGAAGAGCAACAACAAGAAGAGCAACAACAAGAAGAGCAACAACAAGAAGAGCAACAACAAGAAGAGCAACAAGAAGAAGAAGAAGAAGAAGAACAACAACAACAACAACAACAACAAUAACAACAUGACAGCUAACAAGGUAACAGUCACUUCUGUAAGAGGGGAAGAGCCAAACCAACUGAACUGAUAAAACAGCCAAUCAACAGAACUGAAGACUGAUUCCACUCCAAGGACUUAACAUAGACACAUACUUAUAGAGGAUCUCUAGAAGUUAAACCUUGGAGUGGGGAGAGGAUGCAUCAUCUUGUGUCAAUACAUGCACAUGACAAUUAGGGUGACAUGCAGCGUGCAUUCUGAUCACUCACAUCCUACAGCUGAGGUAUAGUGCUGAUAAACCUUAUUUUAGGCCAAUUGUUCAUAAUAGCUCUAGAGCUAGAGAGGAAAAAUAUUUCCUGUUUUCAAAUAACAAAAUAAAGUAUUUGAGUUUUAAGAAAAACAGUUCACUUUUAUUUUCAAAAAGAUACACAUAUACAUUUGAUGUGCAAUCAAACCUUUAACUUAGCAAAUAAAGAAAAGGGGGAAAGGAAAGA